CACGUAGGGCGCGAGCGUUGUCCGGAAUUAUUGGGCGUAAAGAGCUCGUAGGCGGCCUGUUGCGUCCGCUGUGAAAGCCCGGGGCUUAACCCCCGGGUCGGCAGUGGAUACGGGGCAGGCUAGAGGUAGGUAGGGGAGAAUGGAAUUCCCGGUGUAGCGGUGAAAUGCGCAGAUAUCGGGAGGAACACCGAGCGCAGGAACGGCACUCGUCGUACUGGGCCGAGCAC
rnacentral:rRNA from 1 species